GGCGGUCCCGCCCGGGGCUCGGCGCGGCGAGACGAGGGCCGGAGCCAGGCGGCGGCGCGGCGGCCCGAGGCCCGAGAUGGUGAUCUGCUGCGCGGCCGCGAACUGCUCCAACCGGCAGGGCAAGGGGGAAAAGCGCGCCGUCUCCUUCCACAGAUUCCCCCUGAAGGACUCAAAACGUCUGAUCCAGUGGUUGAAGGCUGUUCAGAGGGAUAACUGGACGCCCACUAAGUAUUCUUUCCUCUGUAGUGAACAUUUCACCAAAGAUAGCUUCUCCAAGAGACUGGAGGACCAGCACCGCCUGCUCAAGCCCACGGCCGUGCCGUCCAUCUUCCACCUGGCUGAGAAGAAAAGGGGGGCCGGAGGCCAUGGCCGCCCCCGGAGAAAGGACACCAGGAAGGCCUCGGGGGGUCUGAGGGCACAUGCAAGUGACAUUGCCGACGGGAAGGCCGCUGCAGGGUCGUCAUCGUCGUGCUCGAGUGAAAGCCUAAUGGCCAAGCCCGAGUCCCGCAAGCUGAAGCGGGGCGCAUCACAGUGCAGACCCGCAGCCAGGGCUACCCGGGAGGCCGCCGGUCUGCAGCGGGCCCGACAGCCUCUGGAAGGACACGGAGAUGACGGUCCGGCCUCCGCCACCACGUCCGGCGGCCAGGGAGAAGCCAACACUUGUGCUGUGGAUGCCGGCGACGAGAACGCCACCUCCCCGGACGGGGGCCUGGUGGACAGGAGCGGCAUUUCCGUGGAUGACUUUACCCCCCCGGGGUCGGGGGCCUGCAAGUUCAUUGGCUCGCUUCAUUCCUACAGUUUCUCCUCCAAGCAUGCCCGCGAGAGGCCGGCCGUCCCCCGGGAGCCCGUGGACCGCAAGAGGCCGAAGAGAGACGCCGAGCCCGGCUGCAGCGGGAGCAGCCCGGGGCCCGAUAAGGGGCCGGCGCAGAGCCCGCCACGCGCGCCCCCCACGGCGAGCUCAUCGCUCACAGCCACGCCGCAGAAGCCCGCGCAGGGCCCCUCGGCGCCUCCGACCGACGUGACCCCGAAGCCGGCGGCCGAGGCCGUGCAGAGCGAGCACAGCGACGCCAGCCCCAUGUCCAUCAACGAGGUCAUCCUAUCGGCGUCAGGAGCCUGCAAGCUUAUCGACUCGCUGCACUCCUACUGCUUCUCCUCCCGCCAGAGCAAGAGCCAGGUGUGCUGCCUGCAGGAGCAGGUGGAGAAGAAGAACGGCGAGCUGAGGGCCCUGCGCCAGAGGGUCAGCCGCUCGGACAGCCAGGUGCGCGAGCUGCGGGAGAAGCUGGACCGGCUGCGGCGGCUGAGCCUCCCCCACCUGAGCAGCCUGCUGGCCCCCGGCCGCGAGGCCCCCAGAAUGAACCCUGUGCUGGAGCCGCUGUCCUGGAUGCUGGGCACAUGGCUGUCAGACCCGCCGGGAGCUGGGACCUUCCCGACCCUGCAGCCCUUCCAGUACCUGGAGGAGGUGCACAUCUCGCACGUGGGCCAGCCCAUGCUGAACUUCUCGUUCAACGCCUUCCAUCCGGACACCCACAAGCCCAUGCACAGGGAGUGUGGCUUCAUCCGCCUGGAGCCCGACACCAACAAGGUGGCCUUCGUCAGCGCCCAGAACACAGGCAUCGUGGAGGUGGAGGAGGGCGAGGUGAACGGGCAGGAGCUGUGCAUCGCGUCCCACUCCAUUGCCAGGACCUCCUUCGCCAAGGAGCCCCACGUGGAGCAGAGGCCGUGGGCACCGCAGGAGGUCUGGUUCUGAGCCUGAGCGAUGUCAUCUACGACCUGCCUCAACUUUAAAUUCUGCCAAAUAACUUUCAUUUGAAGAGAAAACUAGCACAAGAAAUUUCAUCCAAGAGGCCACCAAGCCCAGAGGAACCUAACAGGUGACUCCCGGGCACGGGGACACGCUGCAGUAGCAGUGUCGUCGCUGAGGCCACCUCGGUGAACACAGUCCCGAGUGUGCGCUCCGGCGGCCGGGCAGCCCUCACACACCCUCUCGCUGGGACCUGGGGAGGUCGUGGGGGACCAGCGUCUCCACCAUGGGGUCUCCCCCAUGACUGUCUCCCUCCUUUUGUUGCCCUGUGUCUUGCUGCCUGGUGGCUGUUACCGGAUGUUCACAGACUUCGGCACACAGAAGCAGAGCCGAAGGGCGAGGGAGCGGCCGCCCUUGGGUCAGCGCACGGUGAAAUGGGCUGUGUCCUCGUGGCGUGGCCCGCAGCCCCUGCGGCAUCGCGGAGGCGGGACGGGGGAUGCAAGGCCGCGCGAGAAGCCAGGUAGUCCUCAGGUGCUGGUUUUCGGGUGUGACCGCAGCCUCGGCCCGUCGGGCGGGCUCCGCAUGAGAGACACGCAGUGUCUUCCCUUUAACGUGGAAAGGUUCAACGGGGGGCGGGGGGCCCACCUUCCGUUCCCCGGGGAGGCAUUUCCUUUGCCCCCGCCUGCGCUCCCCCUGCACGUGUGGUGCUGGGCGUCUGGCAUGAGGGCGAGAGCCAGUGUCCUGCAUCGGUGGUGGGGUGUCGGGGGAACAGGUGCCCCGCAGGCCGUGGGCUCUGAGGACAGGCGACUGCUGUCCUGUGGAAGCUGAGCGCGUGGCCCGUGGUGUGGGGAACACAGGCUUUGUUUCUCUCCACUGCACUUCUGUUUCCUCUGCAGAGUGGUUUCAAGGGUAAGAGCCUUGACUGUUUGUUUUGUUUUUUGCGGUACGCGGGCCUUUCACUGUUGUGGCCUCUCCCGUUGCGGAGCACAGGCUCCGGACGCGCAGGCUCAGCGGCCAUGGCUCACGGGCCCAGCCGCUCCGUGGCAUGUGGGAUCUUCCCGGACCGGGGCACAAACCCGUGUCCCCUGCAUCGGCUGGCGGACUCUCAACCACUGCGCCACCAGAGAAGCCCCGACUGUUUGUUUUUCAAUUAAAUUCCAGAACAAAGGCUGUGGAGUUGAAGAAGCAAGUCCCAUGUGAGAAUGUCGGCCCGCCACCCGUCUGCUUUCUAUCUCUCUGUCCACCUCAUCUGGGGCUGUGCCCUCCCGUCCUGCCCUCUGCAGCCCUCUCCCGUCCUCAGCCGUUACCGUGGCGAGGACAGCGCGUUGACCUUUGACACCUGUGGACGGUGGCAAGGACCUUAGGACAGGGCUGCUCAGACCACCACGCGGUGUGGUCCCUGGGGCUCAGGGUGGCAAUUCUGAGGCACCGGGUCUGGGGCGGAGCCUGAGACUCUGCAUUUCCAGCAGCCGCCCAGGUGGGGCUGGUACCUGGAGCCCACCGAGUAGCAGGGACGUAGGACACCGACUCUGUGUCCUCCUCCCGCCUCUGCUUCUGCUGUCACGUGUUGUGAGUACGCACGCACAGUAGACCCCACAGGGUUGUAUAAAUGCCAGUUAGCCCUCGUCGCAGCAUUUGGGUGACGCACGGUUUUCCAUACGUUUAUCCUUGCUGUUGCUCUUCCUUUGUUCCUGCGUCUCUGCUUCCACCAUUUUCCUUAAAACCUGAAGAACUUCCUCUAGUGUUUUGUGUAAAGAAGCGGGGGGUCCUGCUGGUGGUGAAUUCUCUGUGGAUUUUUUGUCUAAAAAUGUCUUUAUUUUGCCUUCACUUUUGAAGGGUGUUUUCACUGCAACCAGAAUGCCAGGGGGACAGUUAUUUUCAUUGUUUUGAAGAUGUCCUUCCUUUGUCUUCUAGUUUCCAUCCCUUCUGUUGAAUUUCUUGAAUUCUAGACAUCGCGCGUGAAAACCGCGGGUGACUUGAGGCCUGUUUGAUGUCGUCUCCCACCAAAGGGCACUUCUUGCGCUUCUGGUGGUUUGUCCAGGAAGAGCAGGUCCUGUCCAGAGAGAUAGCACUACUUUGAAACCGGACUUCCCAGUCUGUUUCUGGGGAACUCUUACUCCUGGGAUGCGGCCCUAAGGGGGUCCUGACCAACAGCCGGGCGGUUUUCCGCGGCCCCUCCUUCUAGACGCCGGGCAGCGGUUCCAGAGGGUGGCCCGUGCAGCGCAGCCCCGUGGGUUAGGGCGCACGCACCCGGCUCCCCAGCCUCUGGGUGGCCUCUGAGAGUCAGCACCGGCCUUGGGGGGACAGCUGCUCUGAGCUGGGUCUCUCCCCUGCACGCCCUUCCCCCUGAGGCCUUGGCCUUGUAGCCUGGUUGCUUUAAACAGGCUCUGGAAUCUGGCUUUCCUCUCUUCUCUGCCCGACGGUCGCUGGGGCCUGGCCAGCACGGGUUCUGACGCUCGUGGGCCCCCACCCCCGCCAGUUCUGGCGCCACCCCUGGAGGCGGCUUCCACAGUCCUCGGGCUUUCACCCUCUGUCCACAGACGUUCCAGGCAAACCCAUUUUCUCAUCGGGGGCUAUGGUGCUGCAGGUCUGUGUUACUGUUAGAAGCAGCUGCCGUAAUUGGCCCUGAUGAAUCGGGGGUUCCAGAAGUGCUGGUACCGAGUUUUCUGAGAACACAUUUGGCAUCAUUUCAGGCUGUGUAGGGAGGGACGCGCUGGACAGCCGGCCCCUAGGCAGACGGCGAGGCUGACGCCCGCGCUCACCUCCGGACGUUUGGGAACAGCUGAGCGGCAGGGAGACGGCACGGGCCAGGGGUCCGGACGCCCAUCACGGCUGCCGGCCGAGUGUCUGUCACCCACUGGCGGGGACUCUGCCUGGCUCACAAGCCCCUGACACUGAGAUUACCCGAAAAUUCAGGCUGAAUUCCGAAGGCAAACUUGAACAGACGGUCUCCAUGGCAACCACUACGCAGCCCAUGACUCAGCAUCUGCAUGUCACCUACAAGAAGGUGACCCCAUGACCCCAGGUAGAGCUGAG